CGGUAAUUCCAGCUCCAAUAGCGUAUACUAAAGUUGUUGCAGUUAAAAAGCUCGUAGUUGGAUUUCUGCGGGGACGGAGCGGCCGGACGCAACUUGCGUCUCGAGCUAGCGCUUUCCCCGCAUCCUGCCGCGAACCGUGCUACCAUUAGUUUAGUGGCGCCGGGGAUCGGCUCGAUUACUUUGAGAAAAAUAGAGUGUUCAAAGCAGGCCACACGCCUUGAAUAAGUUAGCAUGGAAUAAUGACUAAGGACUUUGGUUCUUUUCGUUGGUGUUCGGGACUGAAGUAAUGAUUGAUAGGGACAGUUGGGGCGGUCCGUAUUCCAAAGCGAGAGGUGAAAUUCUUAGACCUUCGGAAGACGAACAGCUGCGAAAGCGUUCCGCAAGGAUGUUCCCUUUGAUCAAGAACGAAAGUUGGGGGAUCGAAGACGAUCAGAUACCGUCGUAGUCUCAACUAUAAACUAUACCAGCUAGGGAUCGGCCAACGUUUAACUUUAUCGACUUGGUCGGCACCUUAUGAGAAAUCAAAGCAUCUGGGUUCCGGGGGGAGUAUGGUCGCAAGGCUGAAACUUAAAGGAAUUGACGGAAGGGCACCACCAGCCGUGGAGCCUGUGGCUUAAUUUGACUCAACACAGGAAAACUUACCAGGUCCAGACAUAGGAAGGAUUAACAGAUUGAUAGCUCCUUCUUGAUUCUGUGGGUGGUGGUGCAUGGCCGUUUUUAGUCGGUGGAUGUGAUCUGUCUGCUUAAUUGCGUUAACGGACGAGACCCCAGCCUGCUAAAUAGCGCGGCCGAGCUUUGCUCGGUGCGAGCUUCUUAGAGGGACCAUGAUGCGCGAUAGCACAAGGAAGUUUGGGGCAACAACAGGUCUGUGAUGCCCUUAGAUGUUCUGGGCCGCACACGGGCUACACUGGCGCCUGCAACGAGCAUAUCAGCUGGCCCGAGAGGGUCUUGGCUAAUCUUUGGAACCGGCGCCGUGCUUGGGAUUGACCAUUGCAAUUGUUGGUCAUGCAACGAGGAAUGCCUUGUAAACGCGAGUCAUCAGCUCGCAUUGAAUACGUCCCUGCCCUUUGUACACACCGCCCGUCGCUCCUACCGAUGAAUGUUCCGAUGAAAUUUUCGGAGAGCGCCAGAGAACGGGGCUCCGCCUUGCAGAUCUGGAGGCUCAAAGUCACUUAAAUCUGAACAUUUCGAGGAAGGAGAAGUCGUAACAAGGUAGCCG
rnacentral:rRNA from 1 species